CCUACGGGCGGCAGCAGUGGGGAAUAUUGCACACUGGGGGCAACCCUGAUGCAGCGACGCCGCGUGAGUGAAGAAGUAUUUCGGUAUGUCAAGCUCUAUCAGCAGGGAAGAAAAUGACGGUACCUGACUAAGAAGCCCCGGCUAACUACGUACCAGCAGCCGCGGUAAUACGUAGGGGGCACGCGUUAUCCGGAUGUACUGGGUGGAAAGGGCGCGUAGACGGCAGCGCAAGUCUGAAGUGAAAUCCCAUGGCUUAACCAUGGAACUGCGUUGGAAACUGUGCAGCGGGAGUGCAGGAGAGGUAAGCGGAAUUCCUAGUGUAGCGGUGAAAUGCGUAGAUAUUAGGAGGAACACCAGUGGCGAAGGCGGCUUACUGGACUGUAACUGACGUUGAGGCUCGAAAGCGUGGGGAGCAAACAGGAUUAGAUACCCUGGUAGUC
rnacentral:rRNA from 1 species